rnacentral:rRNA from 1 species
GAGACUCUGUGCGCGUGCAUAUCAAUAAGCGGAGGAAAAGAAACUAACAAGGAUUCCCUUAGUAACGGCGAGUGAAGCGGGAAGAGCUCAAAUCUGAAAUCUUCAAGGUUCUACCUUGACGAAUUGUAGUUUAAAGAAGUGUUUUCUGUUAGUGGAGUGGCAAAAGUUCUCUGGAAUAGGACAUCAUAGAGGGUGAGAAUCCCGUAUUUGGUCAUUCCUUCUAGCUUUGUGAUACACUUUCAAAGAGUCGGAUUGUUUGGGAAUGCAGUCCAAAAUGGGUGGUAAAUUUCAUCUAAAGCUAAAUAUUGGCGAGAGACCGAUAGCGAACAAGUACCGUGAGGGAAAGAUGAAAAGAACUUUGAAAAGAGAGUUAAACAGUACGUGAAAUUGUCAAAAGGGAAGCGUUUGACACCAGUGUUGUUUUUCCGAAAAUCAAUUACUAAUGUUUUGUUUUUGAGGAGUGAUGACUUCAUCGGCUUGCUUCUCUCUUUACGAAACUUUCUGUAAUGCACUUUUCGGUUAACAAGUCAACAUCAAUUUCUUUUGUUGUAAAAGGGUAUUAGGAAGGUGGCUUUCUUUUCGGAGAAAGUGUUUAUAGCCCUUAUGCCUCUACAAUCGGAGAGAUUGAGGUCUGCAGCGUAGAUCCUUCGGGGUUAGAUACAUUUGUGCUAAGUUAUAGCUUUUCAUAGACAACUUGUUGACUAUGUUUAGUCUUGUAGCUUACUCGCUUACUGCUAUUUUACCUACGCUUAGGAUGUUGAACUCUAUCACACACAG